AUAAUAUUGAGUCGAAUGGAGAAAUGUCGCCUGAAGGCAUGCUUGUCUGUGGCUAAUGGACCCAAAAGGAAUAACCCAAGCUGGUUGCCUUCACAAGGAAGGGCAUAGGAAGGCGUUUUACAAAAGAUUAUUCCAGGAGUCUACGUAGGUCUCUCCAUCGUGAUGGCCAUCUUAACUUUGCCGGCGUGUUGUUGUGUUUCCUCCAUGUCUCUCACCAAGUGAAUGACUGCCACCACGCCGCCAAGCCAGCCGACUGCCCACGUCACUGCCUGGCACGCGUUCUUUUUCUCAGCAAUGCGCCAGGGCAUCUCAAGUACCAUUCGCAUUUCCCUUUUCAA